GGGGCGGGGGCUGCCGGCGGGGCGGGGGGCUCUGCGGCCCGCUGGAAGGGCGGUUGACCCUUUCACGUGUGGCUUUCUUCUUUAAAAAAACCCCCACAAACCCAAACCCUCGUUUAUUUUGGGGCUCAGACCAUGGGGUUUGUGUGGUGGUCUGCUUUUUAACCCCCUUAUUUCCUCAGUUCAGCAGGGGCUGGUGGCGAGGGGAGGUGGUGGCUGUGGUCUGAUGGCGCGGUGGCUUGAAUCGAGUCUCGUAGCAAAGGGCAGCGUUGCGCUCGUACGUGGACGUCAAUGCCUGCGGCACGCACAUUUUAAAAUAAAAUCUAAUCCUGUUUGGCACAGUGAGCGCUAGUUGUCUUCCAUUUCUUUCAAGGAGUUAGGCUUUUGCUAUCAAGAGUUUGCUCUUUCUAUCUCAUUUUUUAUCUCCUCCAGAUCGUGUUUCAGCUCCCCAGCACUUCGUUUUGUUUCCUUUUCUUGCAACUGCAGGGAGAGCUGCUGCCGCCGGUGUUGCAAUUGCUCCAGCGCUUUUCGCAAGUCUUGUCUCUUCCCUUUUCUAGCAGUUCUUGGUAUCCAGUGUGAAGCUUUACCUUGAGGAAAGACUUUUGUUGCUUCAUGUGUGUUUCUUCCAAGUUGUAAAGGUUUCUUGCGCCUGGACUUCUUGAUAGCACCCAUUGCAUGUCUGGGGUGAAAUGCAGGAAAUUCUCUGGCUGCAUUUGCAGAGGCAAACACAGGCUGGGGAGCCGGCCACGCACGGAUGCUCAGUGCCUGCGUGGGUCUGCGGCAGCCUGAAGUGCUAUAUCUGGGGAAUAUGAAACGCUUCAUUCAUCAAAAAGAGCUAGUAACUCUGCCUCCAAGCAUUUUAAAUGCCAGUGUGAACUCUGCUGCCACUGAUCAAAGCGGAGAAGGGUAACAGUGUUGGAAGCCACUUUGCUUCGUCUCGAGCGUGUCGUGCUUUGACAAAGGCAAGUUUGAAACACUGAGAAGAACUGUUUGGCUUAUUUUAUUUCUUCAACUCUUGUAAGUAGCAAUAGAAAUAAAUCUUGAUUUGGGAGCUGA